GACGAACGCUGGCGGCGUGCUUAACACAUGCAAGUCGAACGGAAAGGCCUGCUUUCCCUUGUGGAUUGCGGGUACUCGAGUGGCGAACGGGUGAGUAACACGUGAGUGAUCUGCCCCCAACUUGGGUAUAAGCCUGGGAAACUGGGUCUAAUUCCCGAUAGGACUGCAGGGUGGUGCCUGUGGUGGAAAACGAUUUUCUAGUGGUUGGGGAUGAGCUCGCGGCCUAUCAGCUUGUUGGUGGGGUAAUGGCCUACCAAGGCGGCGACGGGUAGCCGGCCUGAGAGGGUCGACGGCCACAUUGGGACUGAGAUACGGCCCAGACUCCUACGGGAGGCAGCAGUGGGGAAUAUUGCACAGUGAGCGGAAGCCUGAUGCAGCGACGCAGCGUGGGGGAUGACGGCCUUCGGGUUGUAAACUCCUUUCGACCGCGAGGAAGCCACCUGGUUGGAAGGGUGGUGACGGUAGUGGUAGAAGAAGCACCGGCUAACUACGUG
rnacentral:rRNA from 1 species